ACAAUUUGUAAUGACUUCUUCAAUGUCUUCAAGUGUUCUACUAAGCCUAUUCCUCUUUAUUUCUUUACUCCAUUUGAGCUCAGCAGCAAGAAAACUAACACAAAAUGACCAACAAUUAAAGUUCCAAUACCACAAAGGCCCUCUUCUCACCGGAAAAAUCUCCAUCAAUCUCGUAUGGUACGGUAAAUUCAAUCCAUCCCAACGAGCCAUAAUCUCUGAUUUCAUCACUUCAAUUUCCUCACCGACCAUCAAACCCCAACCAUCUGUCGCUACGUGGUGGAAAUUAACGGACAAAUACUACCAUCUCGCAAACUCACAAAACCUCGUGCUCACGACAGGUUCCCACAUCCUUGACGAGAAUUACUCAUUCGGAAAAUCACUCACCAAUGAUCAAAUCAUAAAGCUAGCAUCCAAGGGCUCACAGACAAACGCCAUCAACGUUGUUCUCACUUCGGCUGACGUGGUAGUUGAUGGGUUUUGUUCCAGUAGAUGUGGGACACAUGGUUCUUCAGUAGACCAUAAAUUUGCUUACGUGUGGGUGGGUAACUCAGAGACACAAUGUCCAGGCCAAUGCGCAUGGCCCUUUCACCAACCUAUUUAUGGGCCUCAAAGCCCACCGUUAGUUGCACCCAAUAACGAUGUGGGCCUUGACGGCAUGGUGAUUAACGUGGCUAGUUUAUUGGCUGGGGUCGUGACGAACCCAUUUGGAAAUGGGUACUAUCAAGGCCCCAAAGAAGCACCUCUUGAAGCCGCUUCGGCUUGUACUGGAGAGUUCGGUAAAGGGGCUUACCCUGGCUACGCUGGGAACCUCUUGGUGGAUCCAACAAGUGGUGCGAGUUAUAACGCUAAUGGUGUCAAUGGAAGGAAAUAUUUGUUGCCCGCACUCUUUGACCCGACAACCUCGGUUUGUUCUACUCUAGUAUAACAAAAACAUUGAACUCAAAUCCUCUUCACGGUGCAUCAAAAUCAUACCUCGUGUUCCUCUUCCUCACUGCUUGCUUGCUUUAUUCAACAUUUCCAGUUAAUCAACAUAGUCCAUGUAUAUGUGCUUGCCUAAUAGGAAAAUCACUAAGGAUAUACUCUUAUUUUACUUAUUUAAUUUUGGUGAAAAUAUACUUUUUAUUUGUUAUGGAUCAGUAUUCUUUGUUAUAUCAAUGAAUAAAAUGUGAGAAUUUUGGUGUAUCAUUAUCAACACUUGUCGAGUUUCUGGUAUUGUUUCUUAAAUAUACUAUUUGGUCCAUGGACUUGGACAAGUAGUGAUCAAAAUUAUUCUUCUCUUUCAAGGCAUGGUUUAGAUAAAUCCUUCAUAAUAAUGUCUUUGAUAGUAAUAUUUGUUUUUAGUAGACAAAUGCCAAAAAUUAAUAUGUUAAGAGAAAAUGUUAGCCAAAAAUUAAGUUUAGAUAACUCCUUUAAGUUUAUAUAAAUCCUUUAAGUUUCAAAAUAAAGGAUUUGUCUAAGAAAAACUUUUAAGUUAAAAUAACAUUAAGAGAAAGAUGAGUAUCUAAACCAUGUUAGCCAAAACUUAAAAGAAAAAUAAGAAAGAUGAGUUAGGUAAAAUUUACUUAAGUUUUUUUGCUUAAGUUAAAAUAACAUGUACAAUACUUUAGAUUAAUUUUCUUAAGUUAAAAUUUCCUUUAAAGAAAAACUUAAUGGAUUUAUCUAAACCAUGUUAGCCAAAACUUAAACGAGAAAUUAUUUUUCGAAUGCACUGAUAUAUACAAGAAACUUGAGAAAUUUUAAGACAUAUUCAAAGUUAAAAUACAAAAAUUAUAAAAAAAUUCAAGGUUAUAAAAAAGAUGAGUAUUGUAGAGUUUGUUUGUGAAUGACUAGACUAAUACUAUUUUCGAAUAACACAAAAAGAAAAUACAAAAGAAGGAAAAUGCAAGUUAAUGAAUUCACGAUAAAAUCACGUGUAAUGAACUGUUAGUGGUGGUCGUGAAAGCGCAAAGAAAAUCACAAACAAAGUUUCAAAAUUUCUAAGCGAAAUUACAAUGAGGAACUAAAACUGCAUACAAAACCUCACCUUCCUUUCCUAUUUUAAGGAUUUGAGUUAAAAAUUAGUGCAGUUAAAUCCAUAAAUCUAAGUGUUUAAUAUUAGAACUGAAAAUAUUUAUUAUAUCAUAUUAUGUGAUGAGAGUGUACAUUUAUAUAGGUAGGAGUCUUCUAGUUAACCCCUAAUUAAUAAGGAAGAUUAAUCAAUACAAUCAAUACAAUGACUAGUGGAGUUAAAACUAAAUAGUCACAACUUUUCAAUAUCUCUACUAAGUACUUGAUUAAUUAUUCUAACAGUCCCCCUUCAACCGUACGGUGUCACAAACCCCAGUUUGUCUCUAAGAUAAAGGAAUAUGGCAGUGGACAGAGGCUUAGUCAAGACAUCUGCCCACUGGUCUUGAGCAGACACAUGCGAGACAUUCAGUUCCUUCCUUAUAACCUUUUCUCUCACAAAGAAAAUAUCCAAUUCCAUGUACUUGGUUCUUGAGUGCAGGACUGGGUUGUGAGCAAGAGAAACUGCACUGAGAUUAUCACAAUAGACAUGAGAAAUUUUACUCUUAAUUUGCAAUUCAUUGAGAAGAGAAUAGAUACAAAUAAUCUAAGAAGAAGCUUGUGCAAGGCUUCUAUAUUCAGCCUCUGCACUAGAUCUAGCUACAAGGGUCUGUUUCCUUGUCCACCAGGGAAACUAGACCAGGGCCCAGAAAUAUGCAGGCUCCUGAUGUGCUCCUUCUGUCAUCAGGAUCUGAAGCUUAGUCAGCAUCACAAAAGCUGGUGAUUGCAAUAGGUUCAGUAGAGCUGGCAGGUGUAAGCAUUAACCCAUGGUGUAAAGUACCCUGCAUAUAUCUAAGUAUCCUCUUGACUGCCUUCUAGUGAUCUUCAAGGGGAUUUGAUAAGAACUGGCAAACUUUGUUCACAGAGUAGGAUAUUUCAGGUCUUGUUAUGGUUGCAUACUGCAAUGCACCAACAAUUGACUUGAAAAAUGUAGGAUCUGAGACUGUACUUGAACCAAAUUUAGACAAUUUUGUACUAGAUGCCAUUGGUGAGGGCAUGCUAUUAGCAUUAAUCAUGUUAGCUUUCUGAAGAAGGUCCUUGAAAUAUUUGGUUUGAGAGAGAAGUAAAGAGCCAGAUGGUGAGUGAUGCACCUCUAUGCCGAGAAAAUAAUCUAGUAUACCCAAAUCUUUAAGGGAGAACUUAGAAUUGAGCUGAUGAACUAAAUUUUGAAUAGCCAGUUUUGAGUUUCCAGUGAUGAUAAUAUCAUCAACAAAAACAUGAUAAUAUCAUCAAUAUAAACCAAUAUAAAAAUGCAGUGAUCUUGAGUGUGCAAAGUAAACAAAGAAGGAUCACAUCUGCUUGACUUGAACCCAAAGCUAAGUAAAGAUGAUUUCAAUCUCUCAAACAAUGCUCUGGGAGCCUGUUUUAACCCAUAAAGAGCCUUGUGUAGUUUGCAUACAAGGUUCUUGUCAGAAGAUUCAAAGCCAGGAGGCUGCACCAUGUAGACUUCCUCAGUUAGCACUUUAUAUAGGAAUGCAUUGUUCACAUCCAACUGCUGAAGAGUGCAGUUAUAAGUAACUGCAAGUGUCGGAACUGUUCUCACUGUAACAGGUUUGACUACAGGGGAAAAAGUCUCAUUGUAGUCAAAACCUGCUUGUUGAUGAAAACCCUUAGCCACUAAACGUGCCUUGUACUUGUUUAUAGUGCCAUCCAGAUUUUCUUUUACCCUGAAUACCCAUUUACAUCCAAUGGCCAGUCUGUUUGCAGGAAGAGAUACUAGAGACCAUGUCUGAUUAUGAAGUAAAGCAUUAUAUUCUUCUUGCAUUGCUAAAUGCCACUUAGGAUCCUGAAGAGCAGUUUUGUAAGUAGUGGGCUCAACAUGAGUCAAAAGGAGUGUAGGGUUAAUUAUGGGCUGCACAAUUCCAUGUUUACCUCUGGUUCUCAUUGUGUGACGGUUUUGAGGAUGAAUUCUGUGAGGAACAGAAGGAGGAGACUCAUAAUUUGAAGACUGAGAGCUAGUAACACUAGCAGAUGACUCAGGUGAGGAAUUUUGAUAUGCAAAGGGAGAUAGAAUGGUGAUGGUUAUGGGAUUUAGGACAACAUUAUUUCUGUGUGAGGACUGGGAGUGAUGAGAACUAAUAGAUGGAGUCUGAGAGGUGUUUGAUAUGGGAGUAGUAGGAAUAGACUCAGAAUGAGAAGUUUGAGGAGUAGGUGAGCUAACAAUGUGAGGAACAGACUCAAAAUGAGAAUUUUAGGGAGUAUGUGAGUUUACAGUAAAGGUUGUUGAGACAGGAGUGGGAAGAAAAGUGGAUAUAGUGGGACUAUCUGGUAAAACAGAACACACUUAAUGAGAUGGAAACAAGUCAAUAUAAGGGAAUUUUACCUCAUUAAACACAACAUCUUUGGAUAUAAAAAUUCUACCUGAAGCAUAUAAACAUUUAUAUCCUUUGUGACUGUUGGAAUAUCCCAAGAAAACACACUCCUUUGAAUGAAAAUCAAACUUAUGAGAGUUAUAGGGUCUCAAAAAGGGAAAACAUGCACAUCCAAAGCUUUUAAGGAAUUUUUAGUCUGGAAAUUGAAGGUGAAGUAAGAAAAAUGGUGAUUUAUUUGCUAAAAUUGGUGUAGGUAACCUGUUGGCAUUUGUGCAUGAGAUAAAAAGGCAUGGUCCCAAAACUUUAAUGGCAUUUGUGCAUGAGAUAAAAGAGUGAGACAAGUUUCAACAAUAUGUCUAUGUUUCCUUUCAACUGAGCCAUUUUGAUGGUGAGUGUGUGGACAAGUGAAUCUGUGAGUGAUGCCAAGGCUAUUGAGAUAUUUUGUGAAAAGUAAAAAAUCACCACCUCCAUCAGUUUAAACAGAAAUAAUUUUGUGAUUUAACUGCAAUUCAAUCAUGGUUUUAAAAUUCUGAAAUGUAGAAAGUGUGUGAGAUUUGAGUUUCAGAGGAUAUAUCCAUGUGUAUCUAGAAUAAGCAUCCACACAAAUAAGAAAAUAGGUAUAUCCACAGGAGGAUUCAACUGGUGCAGGUCCCCAAAGAUCACAACAAAUUAGUUCAAGAGGUUUAGUAUAUGUCAUUUGAGAUGCAAAAGAUAGCAGUCUAUGAACCUUACCAUGACAACAAGCAGUACAAAAAUCUGACAAGCUUUUAUUUGGUAAUUGUAUAUUACAAAGUUUGAUAAUACUUUAGAGCAUCUCAUGAUGAGGAUGUCCAAGUCUGCUAUGCCAUAUACCAUACAUGAAAGGAAAAGACUAAGUAGAAUUAGAUGUUGAACUACUAGGUAAAUGUUCAACAUUAUUACAUUGAAAAUUAUUGAAAUUGAAACGAGUUGAGGGACCUAAAUGAAAAGAGGCAGAAUUAUCAGUUUGUGCUGGAACUUUAUUGCAAACAGUGUUGACACUAAAAUUUUGAGAGACAGGAGCAGUGGUCUUGAAUGAGUUGGUGUGCUCAAAGUGAUAGAGACCAUCAUAUCCUAGAAUACCCCUUAAAAGCACCUUAGAAGAAUCCUAAGAUUUGACAAAACAAUGAUUAGAAUGAAACUCAAAAUAAACAUUUGUAUCUCCACUAAGUACUUGAUUAAUUAUUCUAACAUUUAAGACCCAACGUAUUGAUUCAACAUGAUAUAAAAGUUCACAACAAAAAAAAAAAAAUGGAGACAAAAAUAUGUAGUACAUACUAAUACAAAAAAAAUAAAAUGAAAAAGGUUUAGGGAGACAAUGAUCUCCGCUGGACCUCUUCAUAGCUCCGUUGAUAGACUUUUAACUAAACAAUUAUACUAUUGUUUUGCAUUAUUUAACCCUAUUUAAAUUUACUUUCUCCCAUUUCAAUCUUAUUAAAUGAAAUAUUAUGCCACACCAACACUUUUCUAAAUUCCUAGGAAUAAAUUUAAUUUACCUCAAUUUUUAAGAUUUAUGACCGACCUCAAGUUCGUUACACCACAUUUUAAAGUUUUUUUUUUUUUUGAAGGAAGGAAAAGUAUUGUUAGUUGUGUGUAUUUGUAUUUCACGGUUUUUGUCGUUUAUAAAAGAUAACUUGUUGAAAAAUAAUUUCACGGUUUUUUGUCCUUUUCAGAAAAUACCAUUUGCAUGAUUUUUUUUUAUUUUUUUUUUUAUAGAAAGUAUUUAAAAUUGGAUUUUUCGCAUUUAAUAUUUUUCUAAAGUCAUGCAGUCAGGAUAUUGAUCGCCUUUUGAUCUUGAUCACACAAUCCAAACAACAAUAAUUUUAACUUUUACUUUAUAAUCAUUCACACAAUCCAAAUAAUGUAAUUUUAACUUUUACUUUAUAAUCAUAAAUUCCGAACUUGAAUAAAUAUAUAUAGACCGUUUGACCUUGAUAUAUAUAACCACAACUAAUGUGUGAUCACAUGAAUUCAUGAAUUUAUUAACCGAAUUAAAUCUAGGUGGAGCUCUUAUUAAAAGGUAGUUUAAGUUGUCCCUUCACGUAAACAUCACAUAUUCACUUCAUUUUAAAUUUUAAUGUUUAAUAAGCACUUAUUCCCUCCAACUAUGCAACUCAUAAAAAAUCACUCCAUUUGUGACCUUGAAUUCAUGCAUUAAUUUUUUUAUUUAAAAUAUUAUAAAAGAAGUUGAAUAAAGAAUGCAAUGAAACCACAUUUAUGAAAGUGUGUGUUUAUACAAGCCCUCUCGCACAAAAUUUAAUUACAAUUAUACACCACAAUUUAAAUAAGGUUCUUUUUGGAGCACUUGAUAGCAAUUUUUCUUUUUUAACGAAAAUUAAAACGGGCCUUUCUACUAGUAAAAUACAUAAACAAAAAGUUAAGCAUAUUCCAUGAAGUAGAAAGGUAAAGAUGAAGACUGUGUUUGCAAUUAGCUGGCUACAUCCAUGCACUGUCCCGGUGUUACAUGGUACAUAUAGAUUAAUAGAUUAUUAUAGCAAUAAUUGCACACGGUUGAAGUAUGAAAACGUGCAUCACAAUCUAAUGGAAUUUGAUUACAUACACUACUAGUCCUAAGAAUUUAGAAAAGAAACACGUUAUCAAGCUUGGUGGUACCUCACUCUAGUCUAUUCUCCCCCUUAUUUUGACUUCCUCAGAUACACUCUUACCCACUGAUACCCUCUCUUCCUUUUUGGAGGCUCUUUUCCUACUUUCUUCGCAUUUUCUUUUCAACUUUCCAAAUCCCCUUUAAAUACCAUCAACCACGUUUCUUUUUCCAUAACCUCAAUUACAUUUCAUUUACACUUACACAUUUUGCUUAGUUUUCCUCUAUAUUACACUUUACCAAUACAAAUAUAGUUAGUACUAAUGACUUCUUCAACGUCUUUUAGUGUUCUACUAAGCCUAUUUCUCUUUAUUUCUCUACUCCAUUUGAGCUCAGCAGCAAGAAAACUAACACAAAAUGACCAACAAUUAAAGUUCCAAUACCACAAAGGCCCUCUUCUCACCGGAAAAAUCUCCAUCAAUCUCAUAUGGUAUGGUAAAUUCAAUCCUACCCAACGUGCCAUAAUCUCUGAUUUCAUCGCUUCCAUUUCCUCUCCCACCAUCAAACCCCAACCAUCCGUCGCUAUGUGGUGGAAAUUAACGGACAAAUACUACCAGCUCGCAAACUCACAAAACCUCGUCCUCACAACAGGUUCACACGUCCUUGACGAGAAUUACUCAUUUGGAAAAUCACUCACCAAUGAUCAAAUCAUAAAGCUAGCAUCCAAGGGAUCACAAACAAACGCCAUCAAUGUGGUUCUCACUUCGGCUGACGUGGUAGUUGAUGGGUUUUGCUCCGGUAGAUGUGGGAAACACGGUUCUUCAGUAAACCAUAAAUUUGCUUACGUGUGGGUGGGUAACUCAGAGACACAAUGUCCAGGUCAAUGUGCGUGGCCCUUUCACCAAC
rnacentral:lncRNA from 1 species